rnacentral:rRNA from 1 species
UUCCUGGCCGAGGCGGCCCGAACCAGCAAGUGGCCCAGAACUCCACCAGAGACGGUUCGAAUGGAUCAUUCGAGGUUGGACCGGUUGAGUAGUGAAAUGCGACGACCGGUUGCUGCUAGUUGCCUUUGAGGUGGACAGCGCCAAGUGACCUCGAAAGAUGGAAGACGAAGGCUGGAUCAUCACCUGGAUUCGAGACCCAGUUAGUCUGUUGUGUGAAUGAUGAAGACCAAUGCCAGCGUAAGCGUUGAGUCUUCGGCCUGGAAGUGCUCGCCUGCCGAGUAAUCCAAGCUACUUGACGGGAUUGGACGCCACCGGUGGAGCGUGUGGCUUAAUUGGAUGCAACGCCAAGAAUCUUACGAGAAUCCGUGGCCGUUCGUGGCGCGGUGGUGCAUGGCCGUCGUCAGCACGGUUCGAGAGUAUUGAGUNAUCAUCUGUACAUUGCCGGUGAGUUGACUUCAGGUCCGCAUGCCCAAUGUUCUCGGCUGCUCACGCACUACAUCGGCCUGGGUAACGUGUUGGGCUCGGCUGCUGGAACUCGAAACCGUCAACCAGGAAUCGGUAGUAAUCGUCGGCCCAGCAAGGUGGGAUGAAUGUCGGCCACUGGUUUGUACACACCGCCCAUCACACUGUCCUUCGACUCUGGUCAGUGAAGUUGUAACAAGGUGUCCGAACUGGAAGGUCCGGAUCGAUCCAUC